rnacentral:tRNA from 1 species
AUAUGUCUAUAGGUAACACAAGAAGACAAAGGAUACUAUCUCUUAUCGAACAUAUGUUCUGAGUAACUACGAAUCAGAAGGUCGGGAGUUCGAAUCUCUCUGGGCGCACCA